GGAGGAUCCCAAGGUCCCACUUACACACGGCUGGGACCUGGGCAGGGACCUGGGCAGGGAUGGUCGUGAGGCACUUACUGGUCAUCUAUGAUGUGCUUGCAGGAUGUGGAGACUAUGUAGCCAGCUGUGGACGCCAUAAUGGCUUGGACAGAGGAUACCAGCCUAGAAAGACAGAGGAAGGAGUGAAGAUAAGAUGUGUGCCUCCGUUUCUCCUCUUGCCACUAGUGUUUUGGAAACAGUACUCCUCAGGAUCCCUCAUCAGCCUCCUCCUAAGCCAGGCUUUCCCAAGAUCACAUCCAGCCAAGCCAUGCUUAGCUUCCAUCACCAGUUCCCGCCUCUCCCAGCCUUCUUCAUUCCCAGUUUGUGGAACCUUCUUCCUCCCAGGACCCCAAGGAGGCCAUCCUGAGGGUGUCAUGAACCUCAGUGUCCACAGCCGUUAGACACAUGAUCUUCACACGUCCCCAACGUUUUAUUACUGUUAGACCCAUUUCCAAAUGACGGACCUGAACUUCAGUGAUUCCACUGUUGCAAAAGAUCCUGCUAACGGGGCCCCACCCACACUGUCCUACAUCCUACUGAGUCCACUCCAGCUGUUCUUCAGACGUUCCACCAGCUCUAGCCCCAGCCCCCAGCAGAGGACAGCGAAGCACAGUGGGAAGAAGGCACACCCUAGCAGGAAGAGCAGGGCCAUGCCUGUCUGCACAAGAGAAAUAGGGACAUGAAAACAAUACUCUUCAGACCCCUACCCACACCCCGGACACCAUCACCGCAAAGACACAAGGACCCACGGGCCCCGCUCCUCAGUAGUCACUGUAAGUCACCAGGCAUGCCUGAAGUCUAAUCUAUUUUGGAUCCUUAGUGGACUUUUUGUUUGAUCUAAGACAAGGUCUUACCAUGUCUGCCAGGCUGUCUUUGAACUUCUGACCAUCUUGUCUCAGCUACCUGAGGUCUAAGAGUGCAUACCUGGGCGCCAUGCCUGGCCUUUAUUUUCUUGCACAUCAUUUAUCCAAGGCAAGUGGACAUACCAUUUGUUUGUGUGUUUUUUUCCUUUGAGUUAGGGUCUUGUGUACCUCAGGCUAACCCUGAAAUUUCUUCAUGGCCCAAGCUGGUCUUGAACUCCCUGCAUUUCAUAUCUACCUACUCAAGGCUGGGAUUACAGGUGUGUUGUAGCCUCACAGCCUAUCAUUUUGAUUUAGACCCAGUUCAGACUAUUUCAGUUUUCCCUAUAACCCGUGGAUCUGGUCGUAUUUCAGCUUGUAAUGGUAGCACAGAACAGCAGUCCCAGAACUCAGGAGGCAGAGGAAGAAGGAGCCCAAGUUGGAGACCAUCAUAAACCACAUAGCAAGACCCUGUCUCAAAAUUAACAAAACAAAGGGCUAGAAAGUUUGCUCAGUGAUUAAGAGCACUGAGGACUCUUGCAGAGGACCUGGGUUUAAU